UGCCACAAUGAUGAUGCUUAUUUGCUACUCUUGACGAAGAGAAUGAUGAGAGCAUUAGCCCACCUAUAUCUCAAACUGAGGCA
rnacentral:snoRNA from 1 species